GGGUUGUGAGGUUAAGCGACUAAGCGUACACGGUGGAUGCCCUGGCAGUCAGAGGCGAUGAAGGGCGUGCUAAUCUGCGAUAAGCGCCGGUAAGGUGAUAUGAACCGUUAUAACCGGCGAUACCCGAAUGGGGAAACCCAGUGUGACUCGUCACACUAUCAUUAACUGAAUCCAUAGGUUAAUGAGGCGAACCGGGGGAACUGAAACAUCUAAGUACCCCGAGGAAAAGAAAUCAACCGAGAUUCCCCCAGUAGCGGCGAGCGAACGGGGAGGAGCCCAGAGCCUGAAUCAGCAUGUGUGUUAGUGGAAGCGUCUGGAAAGGCGCGCGAUACAGGGUGACAGCCCCGUACACAAAAGCGCAUGUGCUGUGAGCUCGAUGAGUAGGGCGGGACACGUGGUAUCCUGUCUGAAUAUGGGGGGACCAUCCUCCAAGGCUAAAUACUCCUGACUGACCGAUAGUGAACCAGUACCGUGAGGGAAAGGCGAAAAGAACCCCGGCGAGGGGAGUGAAAAAGAACCUGAAACCGUGUACGUACAAGCAGUGGGAGCACCCUUUGGGGUGUGACUGCGUACCUUUUGUAUAAUGGGUCAGCGACUUAUAUUCUGUAGCAAGGUUAACCGAAUAGGGGAGCCGGAGGGAAACCGAGUCUUAAUUGGGCGUUAAGUUGCAGGGUAUAGACCCGAAACCCGGUGAUCUAGCCAUGGGCAGGUUGAAGGUUGGGUAACACUAACUGGAGGACCGAACCGACUAAUGUUGAAAAAUUAGCGGAUGACCUGUGGCUGGGGGUGAAAGGCCAAUCAAACCGGGAGAUAGCUGGUUCUCCCCGAAAGCUAUUUAGGUAGCGCCUCGUGAAUUCAUCUCCGGGGGUAGAGCACUGUUUCGGCUAGGGGGCCAUCCCGGCUUACCAACCCGAUGCAAACUGCGAAUACCGGAGAAUGUUAUCACGGGAGACACACGGCGGGUGCUAACGUCCGUCGUGAAGAGGGAAACAACCCAGACCGCCAGCUAAGGUCCCAAAGUCAUGGUUAAGUGGGAAACGAUGUGGGAAGGCCCAGACAGCCAGGAUGUUGGCUUAGAAGCAGCCAUCAUUUAAAGAAAGCGUAAUAGCUCACUGGUCGAGUCGGCCUGCGCGGAAGAUGUAACGGGGCUAAACCAUGCACCGAAGCUGCGGCAGCGACGCUGAUGCGUUGUUGGGUAGGGGAGCGUUCUGUAAGCCUGCGAAGGUGGCCUGUGAGGGUUGCUGGAGGUAUCAGAAGUGCGAAUGCUGACAUAAGUAACGAUAAAGCGGGUGAAAAGCCCGCUCGCCGGAAGACCAAGGGUUCCUGUCCAACGUUAAUCGGGGCAGGGUGAGUCGACCCCUAAGGCGAGGCCGAAAGGCGUAGUCGAUGGGAAACGGGUUAAUAUUCCCGUACUUGGUGUUACUGCGAAGGGGGGACGGAGAAGGCUAUGUUGGCCGGGCGACGGUUGUCCCGGUUUAAGCGUGUAGGUGUGUGUUCCAGGUAAAUCCGGUUCACUUUAACACUGAGGCGUGACGACGAGGCACUACGGUGCUGAAGCAACAAAUGCCCUGCUUCCAGGAAAAGCCUCUAAGCAUCAGGUAACAUCAAAUCGUACCCCAAACCGACACAGGUGGUCAGGUAGAGAAUACCAAGGCGCUUGAGAGAACUCGGGUGAAGGAACUAGGCAAAAUGGUGCCGUAACUUCGGGAGAAGGCACGCUGACACGUAGGUGAAGUGAUUUACUCAUGGAGCUGAAGUCAGUCGAAGAUACCAGCUGGCUGCAACUGUUUAUUAAAAACACAGCACUGUGCAAACACGAAAGUGGACGUAUACGGUGUGACGCCUGCCCGGUGCCGGAAGGUUAAUUGAUGGGGUCAGCGCAAGCGAAGCUCCUGAUCGAAGCCCCGGUAAACGGCGGCCGUAACUAUAACGGUCCUAAGGUAGCGAAAUUCCUUGUCGGGUAAGUUCCGACCUGCACGAAUGGCGUAAUGAUGGCCAGGCUGUCUCCACCCGAGACUCAGUGAAAUUGAACUCGCUGUGAAGAUGCAGUGUACCCGCGGCAAGACGGAAAGACCCCGUGAACCUUUACUAUAGCUUGACACUGAACAUUGAGCCUUGAUGUGUAGGAUAGGUGGGAGGCUUUGAAGUGUGGACGCCAGUCUGCAUGGAGCCGACCUUGAAAUACCACCCUUUAAUGUUUGAUGUUCUAACGUGGACCCGUGAUCCGGGUUGCGGACAGUGUCUGGUGGGUAGUUUGACUGGGGCGGUCUCCUCCUAAAGAGUAACGGAGGAGCACGAAGGUUGGCUAAUCCUGGUCGGACAUCAGGAGGUUAGUGCAAUGGCAUAAGCCAGCUUGACUGCGAGCGUGACGGCGCGAGCAGGUGCGAAAGCAGGUCAUAGUGAUCCGGUGGUUCUGAAUGGAAGGGCCAUCGCUCAACGGAUAAAAGGUACUCCGGGGAUAACAGGCUGAUACCGCCCAAGAGUUCAUAUCGACGGCGGUGUUUGGCACCUCGAUGUCGGCUCAUCACAUCCUGGGGCUGAAGUAGGUCCCAAGGGUAUGGCUGUUCGCCAUUUAAAGUGGUACGCGAGCUGGGUUUAGAACGUCGUGAGACAGUUCGGUCCCUAUCUGCCGUGGGCGCUGGAGAACUGAGGGGGGCUGCUCCUAGUACGAGAGGACCGGAGUGGACGCAUCACUGGUGUUCGGGUUGUCAUGCCAAUGGCACUGCCCGGUAGCUAAAUGCGGAAGAGAUAAGUGCUGAAAGCAUCUAAGCACGAAACUUGCCCCGA
rnacentral:rRNA from 1 species